AAAAAACAAUAAUAAAUAAAUACCAUGUUAUUAAGUGUUUUGUGUUUGUAUUAUCUAUUUUUGAUGUAAAUAUAGAUUUACGUUUAAUUUUAUUAUUUAUGCAAUUUUUUUUUUCAUUCAGAAUUCUUACACAUUAAUCGAUUAAUAAUUUGUCUCGUUUAAGACAGUUUUUUUUUUUAAAAUCAAGUUAAAAUAAUUUACACGGAUAAAUGGUACAAAUUGUGGUCAAGAAUAUUUCUAAAAAAAAAAAAUCCUGUUACCAGUGUAUUAUUUUUU